rnacentral:rRNA from 1 species
UACGGAGGGGGCUAGCGUUGUUCGGAAUUACUGGGCGUAAAGGGCUCGUAGGCGGCCAACUAAGUCGGACGUGAAAUCCCCAGGCUCAACCUGGGAACUGCGUCUGAUACUGGAUGGCUUGAAUCCGGGAGAGGGAUGCAGAAUUCCAGGUGUAGCGGUGAAAUGCGUAGAUAUCUGGAGGAAUACCGGUGGCGAAGGCGGCAUCCUGGACCGGCAUUGACGCUGAGGAGCGAAAGCGUGGGGAGCGAACAGG